CAUUUAAUUUGAUUAAGUUACUUUCUGUUCUGCUCAGGUAUGGGAAAAUACUUUCUGUUCUGCUUAGGUAUGGGGAAAUAAGGGGACAAUUGUAAUUUUU